UCAAACUCCGGUCGGUAUUGACUCCAAG
rnacentral:sRNA from 1 species